CCGAGUGAGGGCCCCCGGCCCGACCUCCAACCCUCUGUCGAUUACCACUUCGUUGCCUCGGGGGCGACCCGGCCCUGCGGGCGUCGGGACCCCCGGUGGACCAUCAAACACUGCAUCUGUGCGUCGGAGUACGAGAAGUAACCAAUCA
rnacentral:misc_RNA from 1 species